UCCCGCCUUGGCCUCCUAAAGUGCUGGGAUCACAGGCAUGAGCCACUGUGCCUGGCCUGAUUUAAUUCUUCUUCUUCACCUGAUCCAGUUUUCUCCAUGAAGACUUGAGACCAAGUCACAGUAGGUUUGGACCCAAAUGUAUGCUGCUCCUCUCUCCCCAUGUUCUUUGCUUCUGUUCUUAGCCUGGGGUAAAGUCCUCCUUGUCCUGGGCCAGACAUACUGUCAAGAGAAAGCUUGGUAUUGGACUGACUCCAUUUAAAGAACCUUAUUUUAUGAAUCUGUCCCAGGAAAAUAUAGUAACUCGUUAACAGUUUUGAAUGAUUUGUUCUUUGCUUUUUGGCAAAUUUCAGUUUAUCCUUGCUAGAGGGAAAACAAUAAAAUCCACAAGUAAUUCCCAAUUUUCAACCUAGCCCAGCAAUUUAACCUCCUCACUCACUUUGCCAAGGCUACUAAUAAGUAGCUGUGUGCCUGGCCUGCUUUCCUUCUCUCCUCUCCCUGGUCCUGCCCAUUGGCAGGGAGCCUCUUGUGAGUCAUAAGAUGACCAAGAGAUCACACGGCGAGAGACUGAAAGAAAAGCAGCAAAGCCCUGGGUAAUCAAGGCCCUAAACGGAAAGUGUCAGGAUCUUGGGGAUCGUAUUGUAUAAAAUGGAUGAAAACAGAGCUAUUGGGUUUGAAGCACUCCUGAACCCUCUCAUGGAACCCUAUGUCUUCCUGGAGUCUACAGAGCUAUUGGGUUUGAAGCACUCCUGAACCGUCUAGUAGAACCCUAUGUCUUCCUGGAGUCUACAGAGCUAUUGGGUUUGAAGCACUCCUGAACCGUCUAGUAGAACCCUAUGUCUUCCUGGAGUUUACAGAAAAAGAGACUCAGGGAUUUUCCCAAAGCACACUGCAAGUUAGGGGCAGGAAUGACAGCCCAGACCUUCUGGUUUCCAGUCCAGGGCUCAACUGCCUAAACAGUGGCAUCUCUUCAGGCAGGCCCUGUCAGAGGCAGCUCCCAAGUUGUGAUGUUGCCACCAGUAUUAGAACACAGUGGUCUCCAAAAUCUUGCCAAUGAAUCCUCCAAGGUGCGUACCAAGUUCCGGAAUAACUGAAAGAACAUCACAUACACAGGCUGGGUACAGUAGCUCACAUCUGUAAUCCCAGCACUUUGGGAGGCCGAGGUGGGAAGACUGCUUAAGGCCAGGAGUUCAAGACCACCCUGGGCAACAUAGUGAGACCUUGUCUCUACCCUCCUCCCCAACCCCCCCCAAAAAAGCACCACCUGUCAAGGAGAAUGGCAUGGCGACAUGGCUGAAACACAGAGCCUUAUCUAAAGACCCACAGGGCUAGAAUGGAGAAAGAACUCUCAGAACAAAUUUCAGAUAGGUAAAAAACCUGGUAAUGUCAGUAGAAAAUGAGAAACAAAUAGUCUGGCUUCCUUCAAGGACUAAAGGACCUGAGUUACUCCCAUACAAUGGUGGAGAGUAGAGCCCACAAGAUUACUGAAUAGCAGAGAUCUUUGCAAUGAAUGCCAGCUUCCAGUACACACUUCCACAGGAAAGUGAAGGUUAAUCUAGCUUAAUUCAGUGCUUUAACUCCUCUAUACCUCUGACAGGAGAAAGAAAACCAGGCUACACUGGAAGUUAAAUCUCAGUUGGACUUAAACUUUUUCUAGUUUUCUUUUUUUUUGGAGACGGAGUUUCACUCUUGUUGCCAGGGCUGGAGUGCAAUGGCACA
rnacentral:lncRNA from 1 species